rfam:Pteropus alecto contig86058, whole genome shotgun sequence.
GUCUAUGGCCAUGCCACCCUGAACAAGCCCAAUGUCUGAUCUCGGAAGCUAAGCCAGGUCAGGCCUGGUUAGUACUUGGAUGGAAGACCAUCUAGGAAGACCAGGUGCUAUAUGCA